UGGGCAACCUGCCCCUCUCUCUGGGAUAACCCCGGGGAAACCGGAGCUAAUACCGGAUACUCCGGCUGGAUCGCAUGGUCCGGCCGGGAAAGGUCCGCCGGAGAGGGAUGGGCCCGCGGCCUAUCAGCUUGUUGGUGGGGUCAUGGCUCACCAAGGCGACGACGGGUAGCCGGCCUGAGAGGGUGACCGGCCACACUGGGACUGAGAUACGGCCCAGACCUCCGUACGGGAGGCA
rnacentral:rRNA from 1 species